GACGUAGGGUGCAAGCGUUAUCCGGAAUUACUGGGCGUAAAGCGUGCGUAGGUGGUUCGUUAAGUCUGAUGUGAAAGCCCUGGGCUCAACCUGGGAAUUGCAUUGGAUACUGGCGGGCUAGAGUACGGUAGAGGGUAGUGGAAUUCCUGGUGUAGCAGUGAAAUGCGUAGAGAUCAGGAGGAACAUCCGUGGCGAAGGCGACUACCUGGACCAGUACUGACACUGAGGCACGAAAGCGUGGGGAGCAAACAGG
rnacentral:rRNA from 1 species